UCCGGUUGAUCCUGCCGGAGGCUACCGCUAUUGGAGUUCGAUUAAGCCAUGCGAGUCGAGAGUCUUAGGGACUCGGCGUACCGCUCAGUAACACGUGGGUAACCUGCCCUAUGCUGGGGAAUAACCUCGGGAAACUGAGAAUAAUACCCCAUAGUUCACCACGCCUGGAACGGUGGGUGGAUGAAAGCUCCGGCGGCAUAGGAUGGGCCUGCGACGUAUCAGGUUGUAGGGGGUGUAACGUACCCUCUAGCCAUCAACGCGUACGGGUGUUGGGAGACAUAGCCCGGAGAUGGAUUCUGAGACACGAAUCCAGACCCUACGGGGUGCAGCAGGCGCGAAAACUUGGCAAUGCGAGCAAUCGUGACCAGGGAACUCCAAGUGGCUGGGGUAAUACCCAGUUUUUUCUUGACUCUUCAAAGGUCUUGGAAUAAGGGGUGGGUAAGGACGGUGCCAGCCGCCGCGGUAAUACCGGCGCCUCAAGUGGUAGUCGCUUUUAUUGGGCCUAAAACGUCCGUAGCCGGUCUGGUGCAUUCGUGGGUAAAUCAACCCGCUCAACGGGUUGAAUUCUGCGAGCACGGCCAGACUUGGGACCGGGAGAGGUGUGGGGUACUCUCAGGGUAGGGGUAAAAUCCUGUCAUCCUGAGAGGACCACCUGUUGCGAAGGCGCCACACUAGAACGGAUUCGACGGUCAGGGACGAAACCUAGGGGCACGAACCGGAUUAGAUACCCGGGUAGUCCUAGGUGUAAACGCUGUGGACUUGAUGUUGGGGGUGCUCCGAGCACUCUCAGUGUCGAAGCGAAGGUGAUAAGUCCACUGCCUGGGGAGUACGGUCGCAAGGCUGAAACUUAAAGGAAUUGGCGGGGGAGCACUGCAACCUGAGGAUUGUGCGGUUUAAUUGGAUUCAACGCCGGGA
rnacentral:rRNA from 1 species